AUCUGAUGGAUCCGGUGGAUCUGGUGGAUCCGAUGGAUCCAUUUUUUUUAUAUAACUAAAAUCCAUUGGAUCCGUCGGAUCCAUCAGAUCCAUUUUUUUAUAUAACUCGGAUCCAUCAGAUCCACCGGAUCCAUCAGA
rnacentral:miRNA from 1 species